rnacentral:rRNA from 1 species
GGAUGCGAUCAUACCAGCACUAACGCACCGGAUCCCAUCAGAACUCCGAAGCUAAGCGUGCUUGGGUGAGAGUAGUACUAGGAUGGGUGACCCCCUGGGAAGUCCUCGUGUUGCAUCCC